AAAGUCGUAACAAGGUAACCGUAGGUGAACCUGCGGUUGGAUCAUUAUUGAAUCAACGGUCUUGGAGUCCUCCUUUGGAGUUGAUUCCUCGACCUUACCUACCCCUGUGCACUGUAAAUGUUUUUUGGGACGGUGCAGCAAUGCCUGUCCCAGCAGUACAAACUCUAUGUAAUUUGUCUGAAUUGAACCAAAGAAUCGUAACAACUUUUGACAACGGAUCUCUUGGCUCUC
rnacentral:misc_RNA from 1 species